UACGUAGGGGGCGAGCGUUAUCCGGAAUUACUGGGUGUAAAGGGAGCGUAGACGGCGAGGUAAGCCUGAAGUGGAAGCCCGCGGCCCAACCGCGGAACUGCUUUGGGAACUGUUUUGCUGGAGUAUGGGAGGGGUAAGCGGAAUUCCUGGUGUAGCGGUGAAAUGCGUGGAUAUCAGGAGGAACACCGGUGGCGAAGGCGGCUUACUGGACCAUAACUGACGUUGAGGCUCGAAAGCGUGGGGAGCGAACAGG
rnacentral:rRNA from 1 species